rnacentral:lncRNA from 1 species
CAUUAGAACAGAGAAAAUUUGUUUGGGGGAUUUUAUGUAGGGCUCAGGGUUCAGCUUUUUAGCAUUGGUUGGCUAAGCCCUUCAGGUUUCUAUAGAAACCUUUCGUAUGAUGCUUUAAAUAGAGGCUCUGCAUGUACCCGGAAAGUAAGAAUUCUCUGUUUCUUUGAUUACAGGAUUAUUCUUCUUCCACCUCAAAGUCAAGUCUGAUAAUACCGAAAAGAUCAGAGAUUGAUACAGUAGGAGUUUGCCCAGAAGGAAGUAACUAUAUUAAGCCGUAGUGAAUGAACAAUUCCUCCAAAUAACCUGAUUCUAAAAAAUAAUGACUUAUGGCUUUUUGAUCCUAGCCGGAUACGUCUUUCCACUCAAAUAAAAAUCCAGUUUGGUCGAACGGAUGAUUUACAUUUUUCUGCUUGGGAAGCCUUUAGUGACUAAGAUGAAUGCAAAGACUGGGUGUUGUACUUGGAGUCGGGAACCCUUAUGUACUACUGGAAGGAUACAGUUUGCAGUGCCUGAAAAGGUGGCAAGCUUUGAAACAGCAUUUGCCAUCUCUAAAAAGGUAAGUAAGUGAACUAUAAUUGAGUUAUGAGCAGUUCUUUGCAGAACUGGAGUAUGUUAUAUUAGAGUCAGACAAUUACAGUCUUUCCAGACAUGUCAUGUCAAACUUAAGCCUGUGAGCAAGGGCUUUGCAAACAAGAAAUCUUAGAUCUUGAAGACAAAUUUUCAUUACUGUUCUCCCCACAGAGAGUGAGAUUUCAGGAUGUUUCCUGCAUCUUUUAUGACACAGAUGAACUUUCUGCAUUCAUUAGAGACAGUUGAUUGGAUAUGACUUGAAUAUGUUUCUACUAAAAAUGGCAUAGAUUGUUCAUUUAAGGAUAAUAUGAACCAAAGCUUUUAAUUGAGUUGGCUUUGCUACAUUCACAUUUUUCCUUUUGCUGGAGAGUUUCUAUCAGCAUCGAGUUUUUUCAAAGCCAUAAUUUAUUUUUCACUUUUACUACUAUACAGCCUACUGACUUGAUACCCGUUGAGGUGAUUCAUAAUAAUGUUUUAUUUGUUAUUGAUUGCCCCUUGGAAUGUGAUAUUGAGCAAUUCAUAGAAUAAUUUUGCUAACGUGACCUUAAUAGAACUGUCCACUGGCAUAAGGAGUACUUGCAUGAAAGCAGUUACAGAACAAAUUUUUUUUUUAGAAAAUGACAGUUUCUGUUAACUAUAUCCUAUUUGAAUUUACUAAAAAAAAAGGGGGGGGUAUUUUCAAAGCAUUGUUUAAAAUUUAGUAUAAACAUCUUUAUUAGCAGUAUCUUUGUGUUAUAUUAUUAUUUUUCAAAUUGGAUACAGAGAGGAAUGAAGCACUGUAGUUAUGCAAUACAUUAAUCUUUCAAGUACUUUAUAAUUCCAAACCAUACUGGAAAGCUGAAAACUCAACUUGAUAUAUGCUGAGCAUUAGAAGAAUUAUUUUGCAAACCUGUUAAGUGUUGCACUUGAAUGGCCAGCAGCAAAUUUGAUGAUGUAAAUAGUACAGUAAUACAACCUAUGUUAAUAUUAACUUACUUAUGUUAAUACCUUAACUUAGGUUCCAAGCUUCAGCUAGGAAUUGUGGGAAUCAAGAUCCUUUAAUUUCAUUUCCAGUUCCUUCACCACGUGAAAGCAUGUCUAUUUAACUAUAUCUAUUCAAGGUUGUAUUUGUCAUCAUCUUGAACCUAAGUUAACCAUUUGUAAAAUGCAGUGAUGGAUUAAGAUGAUGCCUGCUCAAACCAAAUAAGACUCUGAAUGCUGUCUACAUAUACUAUUAACUACUUUUUGUUUUCCUAAGACGACUAUCUCUCUUAAUGUAGGAAUGCUGUUUAGUAGUUGUGCCCUGCUCACAUCAACUGUAGAUAGGACAACUUGUCUUGUGCUUGAGAUGUAGAGAAAUAAAUACGGCAUAUCAGAUGCUCA